rnacentral:rRNA from 1 species
UGCUUAACACAUGCAAGUCGAACGGCAGCAUGACCUAGCUUGCUAGGUUGAUGGCGAGUGGCGAACGGGUGAGUAACGCGUAGGAAUAUACCUUAAAGAGGGGGACAACUUGGGGAAACUCAAGCUAAUACCGCAUAAUUUCUUUGGAAAAAAGCUGGGGACCUUCGGGCCUGGCGCUUUAAGAUUAGCCUGCGUACGAUUAGCUAGUUGGUAGGGUAAAGGCCUACCAAGGCGACGAUCGUUAGCUGGUCUGAGAGGAUGACCAGCCACACUGGAACUGAGACACGGUCCAGACUCCUACGGGAGGCAGCAGUGGGGAAUAUUGGACAAUGGGGGCAACCCUGAUCCAGCAAUGCCGCGUGUGUGAAGAAGGCCUGAGGGUUGUAAAGCACUUUCAGUGGGGAGGAGGGUUGAUUGGUUAAGAGCUGAUUGAUUGGACGUUACCCACAGAAGAAGCACCGGCUAACUCCGUGCCAGCAGCCGCGGUAAUACGGAGGGUGCAAGCGUUAAUCGGAAUUACUGGG